CUCAGCUUGUCGAUGGUACAGUCGUUCCGGCUGGCGCACAGGUGGUUCUGCUUUCCUGGAGGCACACAAAAAAAAAAAAAAAAAAAAAAGAAUCCACAUUGCCUCGGCCUUUUACUCAUAGCAACGCCACGUGGGUGUUUACUGAUAACAAACUGCUCGGCCUUAUAAUGUCAGGUCGGUGUGCCCUGACGGCAUUAGAGAGUAGGUGGRUGUAUAAAAUUAAAUCAGGGGAUGCAUGCUGUAAUUUUGAUGUACACUCAGGGAUGCUUGAGUGUGUGUGUGUGCGUGCGUGUGUGUGCGUGUGUGUGUGUGUCUGUGUGUGUGUGUGUGUGUGUGUGUGUGUGUGUGUGUAAUCAGACUGUCCGGGACAUCAGGGGGGGGAACAAAGGGCGAGAAAGAUACAAGUUUCCAACUACUGGGUGGAACUUGAGACGUGCUUUCAGGGGGCAGUUUGUUAUUUUCAAAAAAAAAAAAAAAAAAAAAAAAA